rnacentral:rRNA from 1 species
AUUGAACGCUGGCGGCGUGCUUAACACAUGCAAGUCGUGCGGUAACAGGCGUAGCAAUACGUGCUGACGAGCGGCGAACGGGUGCGUAAUACAUGGGAAUCUGCCUUUUAGUGGGGAAUAACCCGGCGAAAGCCGGGCUAAUGCCGCAUAAGAUCUUCGGAUGAAAGCGGGGGAUCGUAAGACCUCGCGCUGAUAGAUGAGCCCAUGCCGGAUUAGCAGUUGGUGAGGUAACGGCUCACCAAGGCGACGAUCCGCAGCUGGUCUGAGAGGACGGCCAGCCACACUGGGACUGAGACACGGCCCAGACUCCUACGGGAGCAGCAGUAAGGAAUAUUGCGCAAUGGGCGAGAGCCUGACGCAGCGACG